CUGAAGGGCCUGGGCCUACGGCAUGCACUCCAGGCAUGGGGCGAGGCGACCACAGAUGAGGCCUUGCAGUGCAACCCUCGUCAGCCAGGUUGCUUGUGUCCGAAGAAGCGGCAGUCCCUUUAACCAGGGUGGUCCUGGGCGGAAGUUGCCGGGCACUGCGGGCAGCUGCGUCCAUCGCAGCUCAGGACGCAGGGGCGCUCCCGGACCCAGCCGUCCGCGCACGCUCGGCGCAGGCGCACUAGCAGCUGGCUUCCUGUAGAAUCUCGAUUUGGAGACUUCGGGGCACUCGAAACGCAGGAGGUGGGUUUUCUUAUCUUGCUGUGGCUCCAGCUCGCGCUCCGCCUGGCCCCUGGGGCUGGAGCUGCAGCUCCUGCUCAGCCCGGAGAGCCUCCACCAGCCUCUGCUUAGGAAAUGCAGCCCGUCCUGGUACUUCAGUCUGCGAGAACUGUGUUGACUCAGAUACAGGAGUAUUUGGAGAGUUGAUCGUUUUCACCUGGGCCCACUGCUGCCACACACAAGACCUGGCUUCUGUUAGAUCACAGAAAAAAUCAGGGACCAGAAGACCAUAAAGCUUUAGGAAUAAAAAUGAAACCCAGCACCCACAGCAAUAAAAGUCUCAAUGUCUAGUCAUAAAUUCCAGGCAUGAGCAAAGAAUCUGACAGUUCCACUGAGCAUUUGAGCCAGGAGAUGGAGGGCUGUCUGGAGGAGAUGCCCUGUUUUCUCUGUGAGGGUAACGCUGUCUUCUAAAAUGAAACUAUGUCUGAGAGGAAAUGGAAUUCCCCUUGAUGCAAUCCCUUCUGGAAAAGUCCACCGUCCAAGGGCCAGAGACCAGGGACAAAAGCAAGGGAAAGAAGACAUUCUCUGCCAAAAACUGAGUUCUUGUGGAGAAGUACAGACAGACCUCCAUCCUCUAUUAUAUCCCUAACACAGAUCACACAGGUUCAACCUGCAGCCAGCAACCAACAUCCUAAGUUUUCGCAACGCCAGUCGAGAAAAA